UUACAAGGACGUCACACACAACACAGUGGCGCACGUGCAGUGCCGAAAGUCCUUACGUGCGUGUCGUUCUUUGGUUAUCCUUACUCAUGUGUAACGCUCACGGACCUCCCCUGAAAAAGCGCAAACCGCAGCCUCUGCCGUCGACAGAGCCGCUGCCCAUCUACCUCGACUACAACGCCACUACCCCGCUCUGCGAGGAGGCUUGGCGGGAAAUCUGUCGCGUGCACACCGCGUGGGGCAAUCCCAGCUCAACACACCCCUACGGUCUGGCGGCGAAGUACGAGUUGGAAGAGGCACGCAAGAAGGUGCAAAAAGCACUGCACGCGCCCUCAUCGGAGUCCAUUAUCUUCACCUCUGGCGGAACCGAAAGCAACAAUCUCGCCAUUAUCGGCGGCUUGCUCGCCCUGCGCCAACAGCAUCCCAGCAGACGCUAUGUCGUCUCCACCAACGUGGAGCAUCCUGCCGUGGCAGAGGUGCUAAAGUCUAUGGAAGGCAGCGACCUAGGCACCGGUGACCCAGCCAGCAUCACCGACGGCGUCGAGGCGGCGUCGCGCACCACAGUAGAGACGAUAUGCGCCGAAGUGGACCCUCAAACGGGUCGCCUUGAUGCAUCGACGCUGCGAGCGGUCCUGAAAAGUCUCCCUGGCGGUCCCGAGUCCGUCGCCCUCGUUUCCGUCAUGUUUGCGAACAACGAGAUUGGAGCCGUCAACGAUAUCAAGGCGCUGUGCCGCAUAACGAAGGAGCUCUGCGGGGCGGCGUGUCUUUUUCACACCGACGGCGCCCAGGCGUUGGGGAAGGUGCCGGUGGAUGUGCAGGACAUAAACGUUGACCUCCUUUCCGUCUGCGGACACAAAUUCCAUGGUCCGAAAGGUGUUGGGGCGCUCUACAUCAAACCCGGUGUGUCGGUGCACAACAUCCUCUUCGGCGCCGGUCAUGAGCGCAGCAUCCGGCCCGGCACGGAGAACGUGCUUCUCGCAGCGGGUAUUGCUGAGGCGCUGAUGUUUGCAUGCAAUAAUAUUGACCGCUUUUCAACUGUGAUGCGAGACACGCGUGAUGAACUGCUGCGCGUGCUCACGGCGGAGCUGGCGGCGUACGACAUGGGCCUCGUCGUCAACGGCGCCAUCGCCGUCGGUCUGCCAAACACGCUCAACUGCGCUCUUUUCAGGCGGGUGCCGAACAGGAAAACGGGCUCGCCCGUCACCUAUAUAUCAGCGCAGCGGCUGAUCUUCUCCGCCGGGGAUGAGGUGUGCAUAUCGGCAGGCUCCGCUUGCCACUCCACGGCUGAUGAAGGAACCGAAAUCCUCGUCUCUGAUACGCUCAAGGCGGUGCAGGCGAACGCGGAUCGAGCCAUCGGCACCCUGCGCAUCUCAACUGGGCGCACCACGACCAUGGAUGAAGUGCGACGAGCGGGUAGGAUAAUCGCGCGGCGGGCGGCGCAGCAGUUCGAGGAGUGAUGACAGCACUGUCUGCCUCUCUCUCUCUCCCGCGACUAUUCGCCCUCUGAAUCGCCGGCGCUGUGCGUAACGCUUCCCACAGAGCGCCGGCGGCGAUUUGCUAGUCGAGGGAGUGCGCAGGCGAACAGGCGCCUCUCGUGUCAUUGGCGCAUAAAGAAAAG
rnacentral:misc_RNA from 1 species